GGAGGGGCUGGAAGAUGGCGGCGGACGCACACCCACCCGAGACGCGACAGAGCUUAGGCCCCUCGCCCGCGCCGCCUCCCGCUGCUCGCAGCCACCGUGGGCAGCCCUGCUCUGUCCCGCGUUGCUGGUAGAGCCGCCCCGCGGAGGCGUGGGACCAGGGUGGCGUCCGCAUCCCCUGCCAGCGCGCCUUCGCCCGGGUCGGGCCAGGGAGCACCUGUGCACGGCCAUAUUGGAUUCUGUGCCCCAGUCACUGCCUCAGCGCGGCGGGAAAGGAGAGGAGUUCAACAAUUUUUAUGAAUUUCUAAUCCAACCUCAUCAUUCUAUGGGAAACAGAAGACCACCAAGAACAGCCAGCUGGUAUCUUGGCAGUAACCUCCUCCAUAUAUUUCCUUGGCCCUCAGCUUACAUCUGGCAAAAUGACUCUAUUGGUUCCAGGCUUCGCAUCCAUAC
rnacentral:antisense_RNA from 1 species